ensembl:lncRNA
GUGGGCGGCCAUUUAUGAGCUGCUAACAUGAAUGAAACAAGGUUUUAGAACGGAGUAGGUAACAGAGGAUUUGUGUGAGCCGCGCUCGAGGGCCUCCGGGACGGGAACACUGCCGCAGAUUGUGCUCGGGCUCUGAAUGGCGGAGUCGUCACCCUCUAACUCCUCCGCUCGCCGCGCGGCCUCGUUGUUGAGCAGCGCCUGAAGGACCCAUACGGGAAUGAGGGACCACGCCACCAAUUUCAUGAAUGGGCACCAGGACCCCCCCCCCCACCCCCACCCCUCUCUCAAAACAAAUGGGAGGGAAGAAGAAAACAAGAAACCCAAGUGAAAACCCCGAAUGACCUCAGCUGGCGAUUAGGAGUCGAGACGAUGCGCCUGAGACGAUUGAUCCUGUAAGCAGAUCCAGGAGUAGAGGAUCUGCUUGUCGGACAAAGAUUGAUGCGAGACUUCGCCAAAGCCCUCCUCGCUCAGGACGUCUCCAGCUCGCCGACCUGCGGCAGGUAACAUCUGUCGGGAGGACCGGACGCGUCUCCCCGCGGCACCGUGGGUGAACACCCUUUUUAGCCUGGGUGGCCCCACCGACGGCGGGGGGGAGGGGGGGGGAGCGACAGCCCCCUCACCCGGGUGUUUGACUUUGCUUCCUAGCCUCACCUCUCCCAGAGCUCCUCGCAGGUAGAACUAAUGGCCGGCUCCACAUCUGUGGCCCAUUCACUGUUUGUUUUUUAAUGAGCGGGACAGAGAGGUGGAGAGAGAGCCGAGUAUGAAUGGACAAGCGGGGACUUUAACUAGCUGCCUCCGCCAUUAAGAGCCUGUAGGGCAAUUAUGUUAGCCAACACAAUGACCUCAACACCAUUUCAAAGUGUUGCUGUACACAACAGCUUCCACACAGAUGCAUCUGACGCACUUCUUUGUGCAUGAUUUCACACGAGCAGAGAUGAACGUGGGAUUGAAUCAACGUCUGCAAGAAUGAUGACCUCGUGAGGCUCCUUUUUAAUUGAUUUUGAGAGAACACCAAAAAAUGGAUGAAGAGUUAUAAAAGAAUAGUCUGAUGUUAAUGACAAUGAUUUAACCAGUCAACACGUUUGACACAUAAGCCACAGAUGCAAACGGAGCAGCGCUAUUGAUUUAAUGUCGCUAUAGCAACAGCUAAUAAGGGUUAAUAACACAUUUAAUGUGAAGUCAUUUAAAACGUGGGCAUGUUUACCCAGAGAACUUUUCAAUUCACGUAAACAUGCUUCGUCCUUCCGUUAUCGAAUACUGAUGAUUGAAUGAGAUGAUUCAAGAUGUUAGAAGAUGUCGCCGUCACGUCAUCUCGGGCCCUCCGGCCUCUCAACUUUUGGGAAAGUUUCCAGUGUCCACGAGGAAGUUUGUUGGGAUGAAAAUGUAUUUGAUGAUAAAAUAUUGAACCUGCAGCCAGCAGAGCUUGGACACUAUUUCAGGGUGUUGUUACUUUACAACUCAUACACAAUGGAGUCACAUUUACAAUGAGGACUUUAUUAAUAUUAAUAAAGCGCAACGCUUUGA